rnacentral:lncRNA from 1 species
AAUUCCUUAGGUCCUUGAAAAAAAUCAUUUGCAUAUUGCAUUUAAAGCAUCAAUUGCAUCAUUUGGUCUUGCUUUCUUCAAGUACUUUCUAGAGUCUCAUUCGUUUUCCUUCAUCUUCGUAGAAGACAAGUUGACCCACCGGUACAAUACUCGUGCCUACUCAAGAUGAAAGAUGGAGACAUUUGAUCAAGAGCAAAGAGAACUUCAUGAGGAUGUUAGUUUAUUAAAGGCAGUAAUGGACAAAAUGACUGCUUUGUUGGUACAAUUAGUGGCAAC